GGGACUGAGACACGGCCCAGACUCCUACGGGAGGCAGCAGUGGGGAAUCUUGCGCAAUGGGCGAAAGCCUGACGCAGCCAUGCCGCGUGAAUGAUGAAGGUCUUAGGAUUGUAAAAUUCUUUCACCGGGGACGAUGAUGACGGUACCCGGAGAAGAAGCCCCGGCUAACUUCGUGCCAGCAGCCGCGGUAAUACGAAGGGGGCUAGCGUUGCUCGGAAUUACUG
rnacentral:rRNA from 1 species